rfam:Hordeum vulgare subsp. vulgare, WGS project CAJW01000000 data, contig: morex_contig_47391
CGCGUACUUCCUCCGUCACAAAAUUCUUAUCUUUGAUUUAUCUAAAUAUGAAUGUAGUCAUGUGUUUGUAUUUAAAUACAUUCAUUUCUAAGCAAACUUAAGACAAGAAUUUUAGGACGGAAGGAAUACUUU